CCGGUUGAACACGAUGCGCUGCUUCGCGUAAGCCGCUGCACGAUCGAGCGCGAGCUUGCCGAGACCGACCGCUUCCGCCGCGAUCAGCACCCGCUCGGGAUUCAUGCCGUGCAGGAUGUAUUCGAACNNNNNNNNUACGAUCCUCCACCGGAAUCUCGAAGUCGGCGAAGAAGAGUUCGUUGGAGUCGAUCGCCUUGCGGCCCAUCUUCUCGAUCUCAUGCACCUUCACCCGCUCGCGGUCGA
rnacentral:misc_RNA from 1 species